rnacentral:rRNA from 1 species
AAUAUUGCGCAAUGGUGGGAACUCUGCCGCAGCGACGCCGCGUGCGCGAUGAAGGUCUUCGUCUCGUACUGCUCUUUCAUUGGGGCGGAAGGUCUGCGGACUUGUCGGUACCUUCGGAGGAAGCCCCGGCUCAAUACGUGCAAGCCGCCGCGGUAAUACGUAGGGGGCAAGCGUUGUCCGGAAUUAUUGGGCGUAAAGGGUGCGUAGGCGGCCUUUUAAGUCAGAUGUGAAAGCCCACGGCUUAACCGUGGGACUGCAUUUGAAACUGGGGGGCUUGAGUAUCGGAGAGGGUAGUGGAAUUCCCAGUGUAGCGGUGGAAUGCGUAGAUAUUGGGAGGAACACCAGUGGCGAAGGCGACUACCUGGACGAAAACUGACGCUGAGGCACGAAAGCUAGGGGAGCAAAC